CCUACGGGAGGCAGCAGUGAGGAAUAUUGGUCAAUGGGCGCGAGCCUGAACCAGCCAAGUCGCGUGAGGGAUGAAGGUUCUAUGGAUCGUAAACCUCUUUUAUAAGGGAAUAAAGUGUGGGAUGUGUCCUAUUUUGUAUGUACCUUAUGAAUAAGGAUCGGCUAACUCCGUGCCAGCAGCCGCGGUAAUACGGAGGAUCCGAGCGUUAUCCGGAUUUAUUGGGUUUAAAGGGUGUGUAGGCGGCCUUUUAAGGCAGCGGUGAAAGUCUGUGGCUCAACCAUAGAAUUGCCUUUGAAACUGGGGGGCUUGAGUAUGUUUGAGGCAGGCGGAAUGCGUGGUGUAGCGGUGAAAUGCUUAGAUAUCACGCAGAACCCCGAUUGCGAAGGCAGCCUGCUAAGCCAUGACUGACGCUGAUGCACGAAAGCGUGGGGAUCAAACAGGAUUAGAUACCCCAGUAGUC
rnacentral:rRNA from 1 species